rnacentral:rRNA from 1 species
CCUACGGGUGGCUGCAGUCGAGAAUCAUUCACAAUGGGGGAAACCCUGAUGGUGCGACGCCGCGUGGGGGAAUGAAGGUCUUCGGAUUGUAAACCCCUGUCAUGUGGGAGCAAAUUAAAAAGAUAGUACCACAAGAGGAAGAGACGGCUAACUCUGUGCCAGCAGCCGCGGUAAUACAGAGGUCUCAAGCGUUGUUCGGAAUCACUGGGCGUAAAGCGUGCGUAGGCUGUUUCGUAAGUCGUGUGUGAAAGGCGCGGGCUCAACCCGCGGACGGCACAUGAUACUGCGAGACUAGAGUAAGGGAGGGGGAACCGGAAUUCUCGGUGUAGCAGUGAAAUGCGUAGAGAUCGAGAGGAACACUCGUGGCGAAGGCGGGUUCCUGGACAUUAACUGACGCUGAGGCACGAAGGCCAGGGGAGCGAAAGGGAUUAGAUACCCCUGUAGUC